AGUGAACGCUGGCGGUAGGCCUAACACAUGCAAGUCGUACGGCAGCACAGUAAGAGCUUGCUCUUACGGGUGGCGAGUGGCGGACGGGUGAGGAAUACAUCGGAAUCUACUUUUUCGUGGGGGAUAACGUAGGGAAACUUACGCUAAUACCGCAUACGACCUACGGGUGAAAGCAGGGGAUCUUCGGACCUUGCGCGAUUGAAUGAGCCGAUGUCGGAUUAGCUAGUUGGCGAGGUAAAGGCCCACCAAGGCGACGAUCCGUAGCUGGUCUGAGAGGAUGAUCGGCCACACUGGAACUGAGACACGGUCCAGACUCCUACGGGAGGCAGCAGUGGGGAAUAUUGGACAAUGGGCGCAAGCCUGAUCCAGCCAUACCGCGUGGGUGAAGAAGGCCUUCGGGUUGUAAAGCCCUUUUGUUGGGAAAGAAAAGCAGCAGGUUAAUCCCCCGCUGUUCUGACGGUACCCAAAGAAUAAGCACCGGCUAACUUCGUG
rnacentral:rRNA from 1 species